rnacentral:lncRNA from 1 species
AAAAAAGUGGGAAAAAAAGAGGGAGAGGGGAGGGGGCUCCUGUUUUUUCUCGCUGUAAAUCCGGGAGGAGAGUCUUGUUCCUGGCUGAGGAGGAGCUGGAUGUCGAGCGUGGCUGGAUGGAUCCCGGGGGCAUCGGUUGUGCCAUCCCGCCGCGAAACUGGGAGCGGACGAAGGGAAGGGGCCGGGGAGGGGGAUCGGCGUCACCACCAGGCCCAGGCGAGCGCCAAGGAAAACACCAGCAACCCGAUCCCCUCCCCACGGCGGCGGGGGCCCGGGGUUUAUCCAGGCCGGAGUGGGGGCCCCGAGCCGAGCCCAGUCCCCGCAUGGCGCUGGUGCUGGGAGCCGUGCUGCUGGCGGCCGGCGCUGCCGUCCCGCCGGGGCUGCCGCCGCCCCGCGACCUGGCUCGGUCCGUGCUGGAGACCCACGGGCAGGAGCUGAAGCUGCUCAAGGUGCUGGGAGUCACCAGGACGACGUUCGAUUGGGGCACCCAUUUCAGCAUCAACUUCACCGCCCGCCAGCCCGCCUGCCCCAAAAACCUCCCCGCCCGCCGCGGCGCCGGCUGCAGCGCCCGGCCAGGCAGGGUGCAGCGGUGCGCGGCCCAGGUCUCCGUCUUCGCCUUCCUGCCCGACGUGCCGCUGUCGAUGGUGGAGUGCGGCCGGGAGCUGCCUGGCAGCAGCACCCAGCCCCGCUCCACCGGCACCCCAGGAGCCUUCCGCACCAAGCCGGGUCACUCAGCAUCAUCAUCCUCACGGCCACACCCACGACCUCGUCCCCUCACCGGCGUGUCCCUCCCAGGGACAUCCCGCCACCCCCCGUCCCCAGCGGACCUGGAAUAAAGAUAUUUCGGGG